rnacentral:misc_RNA from 1 species
AAGCUACUGGGGGAGCCGAAGCUCCCCCCCAAAUAGGUGCGUGCUUUUAUUUUUAUUAUUUGCCGGGCUUGUUGUUCUUGUUUGUCUACCCGUCCCGCGAGGCCAGUCGCCUCGGGGUUCCCCAGUUGUGGGGAUGUGAAUAGUUAACGGAUUGCUUUGGUCGCUGAGCUACGGCGAUCUUGCGAUCCAACCAGUUUCGUCGCUGCCUCGGGGCAGUU